rnacentral:RNase_P_RNA from 1 species
UAUUUAAACCGUAGUAGUCGCCCCGCCAAGGCGGGGAGGAAAGUCUGAGCAUUAUAGAGCAGAGUGGCCACUAAAGGUGGCCGUUCCGAUGGUAACAUCGGAGCAGGGAAAGUGCCACAGAGACGAGCCAGUCCGCCUUAGGCGGGAUAAGGUUGAAACGUCCUCGGUAACGUACGAGGUCUCCGAUCGUGUGAACGCAUCGGGGCGGUAAACCCCACUCAAUGUAAAGCUGUAAUGGGAGGAUGGAAUAUUCCGGUGGCUCGCCGGACCAUUUUCGCAGCCGCUAGACCUCAGCAGUAAUGCUGAGGAAAGAUAGAUGACUACUGAACCCGAAUCUUUUCGGGGGAACAGAACUCAGCUUAUGAGUUUAAAUAAACA